rnacentral:lncRNA from 1 species
UGUGUGUGUGUGUGUGUGUGUGGCUGGCAGGUACAUGUUCAGUGACACUUAGCAAAUUGAAUAAAGGGCACACACAAAGGAUUUGAACAAUGAAAGACAUAUUAAAUAAACAAUUCUUUUACAAUAUAAAAAAACAUUUCACCUAUUAAAACAAUUCCUGAGCCUUUGCUUGUAUAUACAGCAAAGUAUUCAUAACAUAUCAUUUAUACAUCUAAAAAAGCAUAAAUCGUAUGUAAGACAUAGCAACUUUCACCUUCUCUAACACUGUAAGUAAUUUAAACUUCUUCAUAAUCACAACGAAGACUAGUACUUAAAGGUUACAACACAGUUUGUUUCAUUUUCAUCAUCAAAACCACUGGAAGAUAAACACCUGAAUAUCUUAUAUCAACAGAGUAUAAAGUAUAAGAAAAAUCUAAUUCCUUACUAUCCUUAGUACUGCAUGAACUAAUUAAAACCUGUUUGAUUAUAAACCUUUUACAUAAUAUGAAAUUCAUUCUAUAACAAACUUGUUCUAUACAUUUAUAAACAAAUAGAUUAAAAUAUCUAUAUAAAAAAGUGUAGCAUCAUCUGUGAAUACAUGAAAUGUCCAUUCAUAUAAACCACCAACUUAAAAUAUAAAAUAGUGUUUUAUGAACAUAUGUUGGUCCUCCUGACUUAUAUUACAGAUACAAAAUAAUAACUUCCGUUGAUGCUAAUAUAUAAUUACAUGCAAUAUAAUUGGUGAUAAAUAUGAGGAAUAAACUAUUUGUCCUUUCUUCAAACUGAAGAUGAGAGGCAAUAUUGGAACAAAUAUAACCUCAAAUCACUGAACACUUGAUCAGAACCUUAAAGUAAUAUUUCAGUCACUAAUGUAACUUGAUCAACUAGCAGCAGUUGAUCAGAUUUCUCUUAAUGUUUAAAUAUAAUUUCAGAUGGCAGUUAACCACAGCAAGGCUGCUGAGGGCUACUAUGGCUAUUACCAACAAGCUGGUAAUGGCCAUAUUCUAGGAUUUAUGCCUUCCAUGGUUAAUUCAAGCAUAUGACAAAAUUCUGGUUGGAGUUGCAUGUCUGGCAUUGUGGAGGGUAAAUCUUGCAGCGUUUACCCUAAGGCGGGCCAACACCACCUCCUCCCUUCUCUCCUUCCUGUCGGAUGUGUCCCACGGUUCGAUGUUUAGUCUGACUAUUUGUCAGUUGGAGACAGUCUCCUCACUUCCCGCAUCCUCCGCCUUCUCCCUUAUGCUGGCCACCCUGCACCUUGUCGCCUGAUCCUCCGACCUCACCUGCCCCAUGUUACUGCAUUGCCUCUCCUCUCUCUCUUUUCUACCCCCUCCUCUCCAGGUGGAUUUCAAAACUGUAGUCUCAUUUUCAAUAAAUCUAGAUUUUGCAUUAGUAUAGAAUCCCAAAAGAGUGUUUUACCAUUCAUAUAUAUACAUAUAUGUAUACAUAUGUAUACAAGUACUUCCCUGGACUUUUCCAUGUCCAAAAAUUAUAUUUCAAGGGUGUAUUUUGAACAAAAUAUGACAUCCAGUCUUUAAGCGGUAUACAAUAAAAGGUAAAAAUGGAUGACACCAUCUUCAAGUAGAUUUCUCAUAACCAUUUUUCAUAAACUUUAUUAUUAUUUAAAAGCAAUACUCUGAAAUAAACUCUCAUCAGAACUUGUGUUCAAGCUCUAAACUAUUGAAAUAGAUGGUACAACUAGAGCAACAGCAAAUAUAAUGGUCCACAGAAGUGUAAAAAAACAAAAUAAUCAAAUCUCCAGUAUCUAGUGUGCAAAAUGAACUAAUGAUUCUUUGCAUUUUGUAUCAUGACAUAGAUGCUUUUCAUGAAGGAGGUGUGUAUAUAUAUACACAUACAUAUUGAUAUAUAACAUAUAUGUAUAUAUAUGUAUAUAUAUGUAUAUAUAUGUGUUUAUAUAU